UAACUUUAGAUUAAAUAGGAAUAUUUAUUAAAUUUAAAUAUAUUAAUAAGUAGAAGAAAAGAAACUAAUAGGGAUUAUUUUAGUAAUAACGAGUAAAAUAGUAAUAGCUUAAAUUUAAAAUCUAGCUACUAAGGUUUAAAUUAUAAUUUAUAAAAGAUAUUUUAAAUAUAAUAUUUCUUAAGUUCUUUAGAAUAAGAUAUUAUAAGAAAUAAAAGUUCUAUAUAAUUAGAUAUUAAGUUUAUAUAAAGCUUUUUUAAUAAGUUAAAUAAUUUGGGAAUACUAUUUAAAAUAAGAAGUAUAUUUUUUCUAAAACUAAAUACUAGCUAGAAACUAAUAAUAUAUAAGUAGAAUAAUUAAAAAAUGAAAAAUAUUUUGAAAGAAAAGUUAAAUAGUAUAUAAAAUUAUUAAAAAAGAAAUAUUUAUAACUAGACUUAUACUUAAUAGAUUAUCUAACUUUUACAAUAAGAGUAUUCUACUAACUUAAGCUAGUAUUAGCUUACUAUUAAAAAUAAAAACUUUGAGAAUAUAGCUUUUUCUAAAGAGUAUUAUAGCCUCUUAUAUAAUAUUUUUUAGUAGGUUAAAAUAUAUACUCCAUAAAGAUACUAGUAUAAUAGUUAUUAGCGACCUAUCUUAAAAUACAAAUUAAAAAGUUAACUUUAUAUAUGAAUAUUGAGAUAUUAAACCUUUAUAUAUAAUAAAAAUAAAUAUAAAUAAGAGUUUUAAUAUAUUAUUAACUAAUCUUAAUAUUUUUAAAUAGAUUUAAAUAAGAAUAUAUAAGAUUAAAUUUAAAAGAAAAUAAACUAUAUAUAUAUAAGAUAAAACUAGAGGAAACUCUAGUAGAAGCUUAUAGUAGUUCUAAUAUAUAAAUUAAUUAUUAAAUAUAUAUAUAGAAAUAAAAAACUAAUUAAACUUUUUAGUAGCUAGUUUCUACUAAAGUUUCCCUUAGGAUAGUAAUAUUAAACUUAGUUUUAUAAAGUAAAGUAAAUAAUUAGGGACUUAGGGGUGCUAUAUUAUUUUUAUUUAUUUUUAAAUUUUAAAUAUAUAAGAAGCUUUUAUUAUUUAGUUAAAUAUAAAUAUUUAAAUAUAUUAAUACUAGUAGGCUAUUUUUAGUAAGUAGAAUUAGUAAUAUAAGAUAAAUUAAAUAUAAGGUUAGAAUAUUAGAAUAAAUACUUAUUAGAUAUUAUAAAAAGUAUUAAUAUAUUUUAAUAGUAAGAUAAUAAUUAUAAAAGUUGGAAUCUACUAAAGAUUAUAUAAUAAUUUACUUAUUAAAUAUAUUAAUUUUAAAAAUAAAUAGUAUUUAAACAUCUUAUUUAUAUUUCACUUUUAGUAUAAAAAUGAUAUACUAAGGAGUAGGUAGAUACAGAAAUUAAUAAUAAAAUUUAAAGUAUAAGCUUAAGUAGAAUAACUUCUAGUAUAGAUCUUAGUAGUAAUAGUAAAUAUUUUAAUAAGAAUUUAAAGGAUUAAAAUAAGGAAAAGUUUUAUAUAAAUAGUAGUUAGAUAUAGGUUAGUUAAUUCUAAGCUAUAGGGAAGUUCUAUUUUAAAGGGGUAAUUAUAUUUUAUAUAGUAAAAAAGAAGCUAGUUAAUAUUCUAGUAUUUAGAUAUAGGUUUUAUAUAGUAAUAUAACUAAAUAUAGAAAUAAUAGUAAGGACUUUAAAUAGAGUUUUCUUUUCUUCUUAAUAAUUUAUUAUUUUAAAAUUAGUUUAUCUAGAAUUAAAGUUUAAUAGUUAGAAGAGUUUAGUAUUUCUAUUAGGUCUAAUAUACUUUUAAUAUUUUUUGAAAAUCUAUAAGAAGGAAUAAUUCUUACGUUAAGUUAUACUUAUAACUAUAAUAAGUUUUUAAAAUAAAUAGUUUUUAGUUAAUAGAAUAAUAUAGAUAAGGGAAAUUAGUAAAAUAGAUUUAUAAUUUUAAGAUUAAGAUUAGCUCUAAAAGUUAGAUAUAUUAAGUUUUAAGUAGAUAACCUAGGAAUAAAUUACUACUAAUUAACUAACUAACUAGAAGUUUCUAGUAUUUAGAUUCUAAUAUUUUUAGUAGGUUUUAGCUAUUUAGUAUAUAGUUAAUAAUUAAUUUAGAAUUAGUAUAAAUAAGGGGAAUCUAACUAUCUAAUUAAAAUAUAGUAUUAUAAUAGCUAGAAAGUAGUAUUAAUAUAAUAUAAUUUCUACUUAGUAUUCUAAAUAUUAAAAUAAAGUAAUUUAACUAAGUAUAAGUAAAUAGUAGGAAUAAUUAUAAUUUAACUAAGAAGGUUAUUAGAAUAAUACUGAAAAAAGUAACUACUAAUAAGGCUUUAUAUCUUAUAAUACUAUUAAAUUAUAAAGACUUCUUAAAACUUUCUAUUACUAUAAUUAGUUAGAAAUAGCUAAUAUAAUAUUUAAGUUAACAGCUUAGGGGAUAGUAAUAAUAUAAUUAGUAUAAGAUAACUAUAUAACUAAGUCUUAUAUCUUUCUUAUAAGAAAUAAAAGUAUAAUUUAAUAACUAAAUAGUAGUAAGUUUAGGGAGUACUAUAAUAUAUAUUUAAGUUUAAGAUAUAAUCUAUAGUAAGUUGAAAAGCUAGUACUAAUAUAUAAGUUUUUAAAAUAGCUAAAUACCUUAUUAUCUAAUUAGUAAUAUAUAUAAAUAGAUUAAUAAGAUUCCUACUAUUCCUAUCUAUUAUUUAGUAAAACUAUAGCUAAAGGAAUAGGUUUAGUAGAAUUAGUAGGGAAAGAAGACCCUAUUAAGCUUAAUUCUAGUUUAAUAUUAUAAAAAAUAUAGGAGGUAUAGAAUAAGUAGGAGUUUUAGUAUUAGUAAAAUAUUAUUAUUCCUAUUGUUUUUUUAUUUAUUUAAUAAAGUAGGGCUAGAUUUAUAUCUAACUUCUAGUUUUAAGGUUUUUUAUAAGUUAACUUAAGUUGAAGAUAUUAUUAAGUAGGAAGUUUAGCUAGAGUAAUAUAUCUAUUAAACUAUAAUAUAAAUAUUUUAAGAGGGGUUUAUAGAAAAUAGAAAUUUCUAGUAGAAUAAAAAGAUAAAAGUCUUCUUAAUUUUAAUUUUUAAUAUAAAUAUAAAUUAUAAAAAUAUAACUUAUUAAUUUUUUAGUUUCUUAAAAUUCAAAAUUAGAAGUAUUAGAAAAGUUAUUAUAAGGAUUAAUAAUUAGUCCUAAGUAUUAUAAUAGAAAGUAGUAUUUAGUUUAAUACUUUCUAUAUAAUACUAGAAAGUAUUUAUUAUUUCUAGUAAUUUAGUAUAACUUCUAAUUAGAACUAUAAGUAAAAUAUCUAGAUAUAGGGAAGCUUUAGUAAGUUAGUAGUAGUAAGCUUUAGAAUAAUACUUUAUAGUAAAGUUUUUUCCAAAAUAGCUAAUAAUCUGCUAAAUAGAAGUAAUCUAUAACUAAUCUAACUAUAGCUAAGUAGUUUAAUACUUAGUAAGGUAUUAGUAAGAAGGCGACUUCUUAUUUAAAAUAUAAACUAUACCUACUUAAGAAAGUAUUAUAUCUACUAGCUAUAUUAGCUGCAAAGUAUAAAGUAAGCUAUACUAUUAUAACCUAUAGGUAUUAUAGAACUAGCUUAUAGUAACUAAGUAUUUAUAGUAAUAUUACUUUUUAAUCCUUUAAUAUUAGUUCUUCCUAUUAUACUAAAGUAGAAUUUAAUAAGUAUUAGAUUAUUUACCUACUAAUAGGGAAUAUAAGCUAGGUUUAAAUUAUUAUAAAAUAAGUUAGUUUUACCUUAUUAAUAACUUUAUUAUAAUAGUAAUUGAACUUAGUAUAAGAAGAACUACUUUUUUAGAUAAUUAGUUUUUAUAACUAUCCGACUAAGUAGUAUUAUAAUACUACUAUCUACUAGAUAAUAGCUAAAUGUUUCUAAAUUAGAAUCUAUAUUAGAAUAUAAUAAUACUUCCUAUAUAUAUAGAUAGAUAUAAAUAAGCUUUAGUUUAGUAUUUUAGUAGGUAAUUAUUCUACUAUUUUUAAAGUAGGUAGUAGUAUUUCGCGAAUUAUAAUUUUAGUAUAAGUAAGGUUAAAUUUUUUAUAGAUAAUUUAAAUAUAUAAAAGGAUCCUAUAAGUAGUAGAAUAACUUUAUUAUUAUAAUUUACUAAAAGUAAGCUUUUUUUUACCUUAAUUUCC
rnacentral:rRNA from 1 species